rnacentral:rRNA from 1 species
GACGAACGCUGGCGGCGUGCUUAACACAUGCAAGUCGAACGCUGAAGCUCAGCUUGCUGGGUGGAUGAGUGGCGAACGGGUGAGUAACACGUGAGUAACCUGCCCUCUUCUUUGGGAUAACGCCCGGAAACGGGUGCUAAUACUGGAUAUUCACUGAUUCUCGCAUGGGGGUUGGUGGAAAGGUUUUUUCUGGUGGGGGAUGGGCUCGCGGCCUAUCAGCUUGUUGGUGGGGUGAUGGCCUACCAAGGCUUUGACGGGUAGCCGGCCUGGGAGGGUGACCGGGCAAAUUGGGAAUGGGAUACGGGCCAGAAUUCUACGGGAGGCAGCAGUGGGGAAUAUUGGCCAAUGGGGGAAAGCCUGAUGCAGCGACGCCGCGUGAGGGAUGGAGGCCUUCGGGUUGGAAACCUCUUUCGCUCAUGGUCAAGCCGCAGCUUUGGGUUGUGGUGAGGGUAGUGGGUAAAGAAGCGCCGGCUAACUACGUG